CCAACCAUCAGACAUGCGCUGUUACAGCAGCUUAAGGCAGCUCUUGGCUUGAAGGGCUUUACUGACGUCGAGCUGCUCUGGAGGAAUUUAAGAGCAGAGCCCCAACCAGCAGAGAGAGAUGCAUGUGGAGAGCAAAUACAGUAAAAGCCUUUUAACCCUGGAACUAAAGGGUCAUUCUGCGCAAAACAAUUAUGAGGUUUUAUUCCAUUUGUUGUUUUGUUUUUGUUGAUUGAUUU